UUGCUUUGUCAAAUGAUUACCAUAUAUAUUAGUCUAUCGAACCUUGUUAAUUUGUCGUGUUUAUCUAGUUGCUAACUAAAUAAAUAUUUCUUUUAAUUAUUUUAUAUCUAAAAGUUAAAAACAUAAUAAUAUUAUUUAAAAAUAAUCCGUGAUUGAGCAUGAAUUUCUUAAUCAGUUAAUAACCAAGUGAACAUGACUAUUGUAGUCGGUUGUGCAUAAACAACCUAGCUCUCAAGCCCGUAAACCAGCAAACAUUCCACCAUGACCAAAACAACCAAGGCCACCCUAAGGUCCCCGUCCAUGAGCAGGAUGGGCCAGACCCAACCUGGGUGGCAAUACUGGGCCGGGAACGGCUUCAGAAGGCAUAAGGGAAAUCUAUAUUCGAAGCAGCAGCAAAUGCAAUUGUCCCACAUCGAUUUCCAAGCAAAGAGAACCUACGUUCCCAACCACCAGCUUGUCAUGUAUCAUUUACUACGUCAAUAACUAUACUUCACCUGCAAAUCCUGACUUAAUCAUCGGAGGAGGAAAAACCGGAAGCCUUUGGUCAUCCUUGUGUUUACAGGUUAUCGGGAGAAUAGUCUAUCACCCAACGGACAUGCCAUCAGCUUCUGCAUCCUUAUCCGAGAUUGUACAGAAACAUUUGGCGUCGUCUAUUGGGUGAGAGAAGGUUUGUCAAUAGAUUAAAUAAUGGUUCGCUCCAGCCUAGACGAAGAAGAGCCGACGACACUGGUCAUCGGGACGCCAUGAAAAACCCCGACAAACCAAUCGACAUCCCAAGCGGGUACACCAUAGGUUAACUCUCCAGGCCUAGACGAUGACGAUUCACCGGGGCAGGAUGGCCGGCUAAUGUACUCUUCUAUCCUCUCGUCGUCAUCCACUAUCGGACAAGAGGAUGUGCUGGUCCCGCUUAGAUCAGUAGUACUUCGAGAAUCUGUUAACUCUCCAGGCCUAGACGAUGACAAUUCACCCCGGCGGGAUGGCCGGCUAAUGUACUCUUUCAUCCUCUCGUCGUCAUCCACUAUCGGCUGAGAGGAUGUGCUGGUCCCGCUUAGAUCAAUAGUACUUUGAGAAUCCAUUUACCCUAGUAUAACACAAACCAUAGGAUCCAUUAGCAUGCGCCGCUGGGAGCAAGCGCGAAUUGCAUAGCUUCAGAGCCUAACCCAAAAAUCCCCAGUUUUUACCCAAAAUCCCCAGAUUUUGACCACCACAAGAUAACACAACAGAAGUAACAAAGCAGAAGCAAAACAAACACACAACAUACGUGCAACAAAGCAGAACGCAGAAAGCUUACCAGAUUUUUGCCAAAACAGUAGCGCUGGAAACUCAGAGGGGUGGCAACACCUCGCAUUCGCAGUGAUCGGUGGCGCAGUGCAGUGGCGUAGAAACAGGCAGCGAAAGCAGAAGAAAAAGAGAGAGAAGUCGGAGCAGAGAAAAACCAGAGAGAAGUGAGUGAAGUGAGAAGACUGAAGGCGAAGAAGGGGGGAAACAAUUUACACAGAAACAGUGAAAGUCGCCUCGAUCCACGAACCGGACAUUAAAAAACCACUAAACCGAAAACGAGGCACCCCUAGCCAUCCGAUCAAACCGUAGGAUGGUGCCACAUGGCUUAAACCGCCGUAGCUUCUUGAAGAAGGAAAGAAUGAAGCGACGUGCAUUAAUUGCUUGGCAGUUAUCCCCAUGAAUAUUGCGACAUCUGGCGAACAUGCAUUUAAUGCACCUGCCACAGCAACGCACAAAUUACACCAAGUGAAAAACCUAUCUCGGGUGGGAAUCACCGAGAUCAUUCCACCCAGUGAAAAACCUAUCUCGGGUGAGUAUCACCGAGAUCAUCCCACCUAGUGAAAGACCUAUCUCGGGUGAGUAUCACUGAGAUCAUUCCACCAAGUGAAAGACAUAUCUUGGGUGAGUAUCACCGAGAUCGUAACACCCACCGAAACACAUCCUCCUUUUAAAAGCGGAGCAAGUGGCUUGAUAAACCACGGAUGGCGUUUGAUAAGAGCACAAAGUGUGACGUUCUUAAUAUGUUUAUACCCUUUAUUUACCCUUUGUUAACUCCUAUUUAGUUGUUUUAGCUUUAUAUUUGUGUUUAGUGUAGAAUAAUUGCUUAAUGUAGAAAUAUGUAGGUUUUGGUGUUAGAAUUCAUAGUAAUUUCGGAAUUGAAGAAUUGGGUGUUGAAAUUAUGCUAAGUGUUGGAAAUCCUUGUUUACUCAGGAUUCCUUUCUUGAUCAGGAUUCCAUCUUUCCUCUUUCCUAGUUUCUAAUUUUCUUAUUUCUAUUUCAGGAAAGUCUAAACCCGUGUUGACCAGGAAAUGUUUUCCUGACUCAUGAGGGAAAGGUGGUCGGCAGCUAGGAGUUCCUGCUUGAGCUAGGAGAAAUACAAUCCGAGAUAUGUAUGAAGAUGCCGUGAAGAUUUCCCAAGUCACCAAGGAGAGAGAAACCGUGCGGCCCAAGAGAGAAGAUUUUUCCAAGUUCAAGAUGGUUUUGUCAUUCCUUAAUGCAUGAGGAUUACUUGAAGAACAAGAGAAGAAAUUAAAUCCAACUUGGACUUGGUUUUGCCGAUUCAAUAGGAUUCCUUGUGCUUGAGGAAUUCUUGGAGAUCAAGACUUGUUACUCUAUAAAUAGGGCACGGCAUGGCAGCAAUUAUCAUCAUCAACCCAUGCAAAUAACACCAAAGCCUUUGCCGAAACUCUAUCAACCUUCAAACACCAUAAUCCGAUUCCACCAUCAUCCUUGAUCCAAAGCACAUAGCCUAGGAUUCCGCUCACUCGAAGAAUAGAACAAGUAGGGAUAUUCUGAGAGUGUAUUUCAUCUUUUACUUUCGGAUUAGUAUGUGUUUGUUCUUCUUGAUGUUUGUUUUAGGUUUUUGCUUAAGUAUGUUUCGAUUCUUAUCUAUGAGAUAGAAACACUUUUGAACCAUGUUUUGAAAUAAAGUUUUCAAUUUUUAAUCAAUGAUUUUAGGUUUUAUGCCGUGAGUUUUAUGUCUAUAUACUUUAAGAUUUUCGGUGCAUUCUUCCAUUAUCAUGUGUAGUUGAUACAAGUAGUUGAUAUUGCAUGUGUUAAUCAUCCAAAGUUCGACUUUGAUACAAGUAGUUGAUAAGUUGCAUUGUCUUUGUUAUUUCACCGAUUUUCUACCUAUGUUUGAUUUGGACUUGUGCUUAAACACAUCGAUUCUUUAUGUGAUACGUAAUUGCAUGCUUAGUUUAUGUGUGUGACCUAUAAGUUGUUUGUGUCACGAUGUUGAAUGAAACCCGUAGUCUAAUUAUAAGUAGGUCUAUGUCAUAGGAACCACGUAAGAACUUACGUGCAUAUCAAAUUUAGAUUGUAUAAUUGCUCACGGUGUAGACUUAAAUGAGAUUAGAGAUCGUCUUCUUUGUUCUUACAUGGUUGUUUGGUUAAGUUUGCAUGAUUGUUGGUUGAUCACAUGUAAAUAUGUAUAGAAGUAAUUUAGGAUUUAUUUUCAAUGUUUAUUCCAAAAUCAUCAAAACCUUUAAACCCUAUAUGCUUAUUUCGACAUUUUUAUUAGAUUAGAUGGAUCUACCCUGUAGUUGAAUCCCCGGUUUAGAACGAUCCAUGCUUGCUUUAUACUAUGAUUGAUUUGUUGACAGGGUUAAUUGAUGCGUGUGCAAAUACGUCUUAUCAGCGUUAACACCCCGUCACUCGAGUAGUAACACCAGAUAUGGAAAGGGCUCGCUACCCUUGUCCAUGGAAAAUGUAACAACCGUUCAACCCACGUUAUGAGUCCGAACUUGGGGGGACUAUGGGCGGGAGCCCAUUUAAAAUAUACUAGUCUACGGGCUUAUUUUAGCAAGUCCCCACUCAAGAUGUGUCUUGAAUUGGAACUUAGGGGGACUUGUAGUCGGUUGUACAUGAAACAACCUCUCAAGCCCGUAAACCAGCAAACAUUCCACCAUAACCAAGACAACCGAGGCCACCCUAAGGUCCCUGUCCAUGAGCAGGAUGGGCCGGACCCAACCUCGAUGGCGAUAUUGGGACGAGAACGACUUCAGAAGGCAUAAGGGAAGUCUAUUCGAAGCAGCAGCAAAUGCAAUUGUCCCACAUUGAUUUCCAAGUAAAAAGAACCCAUGCUGAGCCAUAAAUACGACCCAGCCACCAGAUUUUCAGGUAUCAUUUACUACGUCAAUAAUUAUACUUCACCUGCAAAUCCUGAUUUAAUCAUCAGAGGAGAAAAGACCGGAAGCCCCUGGUCAUCCUUGUGUUUACAGGUCAUCGGGAGAAUAGUUUAUCACCUAACGGACACGCCAUCAGCUUCUGCAUCCUUAUCCGGGAUUGUACAGAAACAACUAUAUAUCACUAAACGAACCUACCUUUACCUUUGUAACAAAAGAGUUAAAGUAAUGAAAACAAAAGAGUUAAAGUAAUGAAAAUAAGGAAGAAAGUAAAGAUCAGCUCUAACAGCUUUCCAACUAUAACAGUCACUCUAUAAUCAAUCGAGACAACAACAACCCUAAACUCUAUAUCCGACCUCUAGUGUAGAAGCUACUUGUUCUCUCUAAUUAGUAAUUACUAAUUAAAUGGAUUAAUAAAUUAUUAGGGAUGACCUAAAAUUAUUUCCAAGCCACACCAUCUUAAUUGAGGAUUCCUAUCAUCGCUACAGAUCGAAUUGAUUUAUUUUUGUCACCAAGAUUGAAGGUACCAUGUUGGGCAUUGAAUAUUCAAAUCUGAAUAAAAUGUCAAAAUUAGAUGCUUAUUUUAUAAAAACCAC
rnacentral:lncRNA from 1 species